rnacentral:tmRNA from 1 species
GGGGCUGACAUUAGCUUUCGACAGAUGGACAUUAACAGACUACUUUGCAAACCGACCACAGACGUAAACUGUAUUUUAAUUGCAAACCCAAUUAAAAAAGCUUUUGCAAGCCUGAAGUCAGCUUUUGCUGUACCUCAACUUGCAUUUGCGCCAGCUUACCAAGCGUAAGCCAUCGCCUCGUCUCAGGUGACAUAGAGCGGCUCGGCGGUGUUAUAUUCAUGUCACUUACGCCUUCAUAGGGAAGCAGCUAUGAUCGCGGACAACGCACUGCGCGCUGAUUGAUUCAUCUUUGUUUAUUCCUAAGAAUCAUAAUGCGUUACAAAACCUGGAAUAAACUAUGUUUGUAGACGAGUAGUUCGUUACCAUUUGGACGCGGGUGCGAUACCCGCCAGCUCCACCA